rnacentral:rRNA from 1 species
UACGGAGGAUCCAAGCGUUAUCCGGAAUCAUUGGGUUUAAAGGGUCCGUAGGCGGUUUUGUAAGUCAGUGGUGAAAGCCCAUCGCUCAACGGUGGAACGGCCAUUGAUACUGCAAGACUUGAAUUAUUAGGAAGUAACUAGAAUAUGUAGUGUAGCGGUGAAAUGCUUAGAGAUUACAUGGAAUACCAAUUGCGAAGGCAGGUUACUACUAAUUGAUUGACGCUGAUGGACGAAAGCGUGGGGAGCGAACGGG